CGCGGCUUGCCCUAGUAACGGCGAGUGAAGCGGCAACAGCUCAAAUUUGAAAUCUGGCCUUCGGGUCCGAAUUGUAAUUUGUAGAGGAUGCUUUGGGUGCGGUACCUUCCGAGUUCCCUGGAACGGGACGCCGGAGAGGGUGAGAGCCCCGUACGGUUGGAUACCAAGCCUAUGUAUAGCUCCUUCGACGAGUCGAGUAGUUUGGGAAUGCUGCUCUAAAUGGGAGGUAAAUUUCUUCUAAAGCUAAAUACCGGCCAGAGACCGAUAGCGCACAAGUAGAGUGAUCGAAAGAUGAAAAGCACUUUGAAAAGAGGGUUAAAUAGCACGUGAAAUUGUUGAAAGGGAAGCGUUUGCGACCAGACCUUUUCCAGGCGGAUCAUCCGGUGUUCUCACCGGUGCACUUCGCCUGGUUUAGGCCAGCAUCGGUUUUCUUAGGGGGAUAAAGGUUUAGGGCACGUAGCUCCUUCGGGAGUGUUAUAGCCCUCUACGUAAUACCCUUCGGGGGACCGAGGACCGCGCAUUGCAAGGAUGCUGGCGUAAUGGUCGUCAACGACCCGUCUUGAAACACGGACCAAGGAGUCGAACAUUUGUGCGAGUGUUUGGGUGUUAAACCCUCACGCGUAAUGAAAGUGAACGGAGGUGAGAGCCCUUCGGGGUGCAUCAUCGACCGAUCCUGAUGUCUUCGGAUGGAUUUGAGUAAGAGCAUAACUGUUCGGACCCGAAAGAUGGUGAACUAUGCGUGGAUAGGGUGAAGCCAGAGGAAACUCUGGUGGAGGCUCGCAGCGGUUCUGACGUGCAAAUCGAUCGUCAAAUCUGCGCAUGGGGGCGAAAGACUUAUCGAACCAUCUAGUAGCUGGUUACCCGCCGAAGUUCUCCCCAGAGAUAUA
rnacentral:rRNA from 1 species